UACGUAGGGGGCAAGCGUUGUCCGGAAUUACUGGGCGUAAAGGGCGCGUAGGCGGUCUUUUAAGUCAGAGGUGAAAACUGUCGGCUCAACCGGCAGCCUGCCUUUGAAACUGGGAGACUUGAGAACAGGAGAGGGGAGUGGAAUUCCCAGUGUAGCGGUGAAAUGCGUAGAUAUUGGGAGGAACACCAGUGGCGAAGGCGGCUCCCUGGCCUGUUACUGACGCUGAGGCGCGAAAGCGUGGGGAUCAAACAGG
rnacentral:misc_RNA from 1 species